rnacentral:tRNA from 1 species
UGUAAUUUAGUGUAAAUGCACAUUAGUUUUUGAUUCUAAAAGUUGAAUAAAAUUUUCAAAUUUACAA